rnacentral:tRNA from 1 species
CAGGGAGACAACAAAAUGUUUAAUAUUAUUAUUUUGUCACCUUAGGUCGAUCGGUAUCUCACGUUCUUGAUUUAUUAAGAAUUUCAUUUCCUAAGUUUUUCUAGGUCACACCCAUUAUUUUUCCUGGGCCAUUAGCUCAGGUGGUUAGAGCGCACCCCUGAUAAGGGUGAGGUCCCUGGUUCAAGUCCAGGAUGGCCCAUAUCUCUAUGUUGGGGGUAUAGCUCAGUUGGUAGAGCGCCUGCUUUGCAAGCAGGAUGUCAGCGGUUCGAGUCCGCUUACCUCCACUGAUUACCACCUCUUUCAUAAUCUGAUGAAGGAAAGUUUUGAGUUGUGAUCAAAUUCUGAACGAAUCUAGCUUCCUAAUGAAUUCAUUAAGAUGCUGGACUCAUUGAAUUAACUUCAUUGUUUUCAGAGAACCUUGACAACUGCAUAGAUUUUUUUUAAAGACAAUAAGCAUCUUUUAUGAUGCAGAUUUAUUAUUUGUGCGAAUGCAUUAAAUAACAAUUCUAUUAAGCUGAUGCUUCAA